ACUUUCAGCAAUGGAUCUCUUGGCUCUCGCAUCGAUGAAGAACGCAGCGAAAUGCGAUAAGUAAUGUGAAUUGCAGAAUUCAGUGAAUCAUCGAAUCUUUGAACGCACCUUGCGCUCCUUGGUAUUCCGAGGAGCAUGCCUGU
rnacentral:rRNA from 1 species